AAGAGUUUGAGAUUAAAACGAUUUAGGAUGUGUUGAAAUUGCAGAAAAAGAGAAUGGUGGCCCAUAUGACCAUGCCUUCAAAAUUGCAGAAUGUAAAGAUGAUGGUAGCCCAUAAGGUCAGCCUUUUGUAACAACCUGGCUCUAGAAAUAAAUUUUUGUUCUUUGUUUAUUAGGUGAAAUUGAAAAGGAGGAAAGGCUGAUCAGAGAUUU
rnacentral:misc_RNA from 1 species